UACGGAGGGGGCUAGCGUUGUUCGGAAUUACUGGGCGUAAAGCGCGCGUAGGCGGCUUUGUAAGUUAGAGGUGAAAGCCCGGAGCUCAACUCCGGAACUGCCUUUAAGACUGCAUCGCUAGAAUUGUGGAGAGGUGAGUGGAAUUCCGAGUGUAGAGGUGAAAUUCGUAGAUAUUCGGAGGAACACCAGUGGCGAAGGCGGCUCACUGGUCCGGUACUGACGCUGAGGUGCGAAAGCGUGGGGAGCAAACAGG
rnacentral:rRNA from 1 species